CCUGAACCUCUGACUAGUGGAAAACUACUCUCCAAACCUGGUUUAGCCUUCCAACAAACUGUGGAAGUAUGUCUUUGUAGUAUUACUAAGUGGACCCCAAAAAUCUACACCUCUACCUCAGCCCUCCAGGAAGACCUGAACCUCUGACUAGUGGAAAACUACUCUCCAAACCUGGUUUAGCCUUCCAACAAACUGUGGAAGUAUGUCUUUGUAGUAUUACUAAGUGGACCCCAAAAAUCUACACCUCUACCUCAGCCCUCCAGGAAGACCUGAACCUCUGACUAGUGGAAAACUACUCUCCAAACCUGGUUUAGCCUUCCAACAAACUGUGGAAGUAUG